AAUACGCCGCAUCCUUGCAGAUGCGCGAACCUCAGUCCCCCCCAGGGUAUUACACAACGGGCUAUAACACUCCCCGAAGAGAGCCACAUUCCCGAAGUCUUUAUCCCCCGGGGAAAACUGAUGCUGGCCUGGACUGGAAAAGUGCACUGGGGAGAACCCCAGAUGAUUAACCAAGCCCAAGUCUGGUCAUAAACGCUUCCCUUUCAACAAUUUCACGUACUUUUUAACUCUCUUUUCAAAGUGCUUUUCAUCUUUCGAUCACUCUACUUGUGCGCUAUCGGUCUCUGGCCGGUAUUUAGCUUUAGAAGACAUAUACCUCCCAUUUAGAGCAGCAUUCCCAAACUACUCGACUCGUCGAAGGAACUUUACAGAGAUUUGGCAUCCAACCAGACGGGGCUCUCACCCUCUAUGGCGUCCCGUUCCAGGGAACUCGGAAGGCACCGCAUCAAAAGUAUCCUCUACAAAUUACAACUCGGGCCCGAGAGCCAGAUUUCAAAUUUGAGCUGUUGCCGCUUCACUCGCCGUUACUAGGGCAAUCCCUGUUGGUUUCUUUUCCUCCGCUUAUUGAUAUGCUUAAGUUCAGCGGGUAUUCCUACCUGAUCCGAGGUCAACAUUCAGAAGUUGGGGGUUUAACGGCUUGGCCGCGCCGCGUACCAGUUGCGAGGGUUUUACUACUACGCAAUGGAAGCUGCAGCGAGACCGCCACUAGAUUUCGGGGCCGGCUUGCCGCAAGGGCUCGCCGAUCCCCAACACCAAACCCGGGGGCUUGAGGGUUGAAAUGACGCUCGAACAGGCAUGCCCGCCAGAAUACUGGCGGGCGCAAUGUGCGUUCAAAGAUUCGAUGAUUCACUGAAUUCUGCAAUUCACAUUACUUAUCGCAUUUUGCUGCGUUCUUCAUCGAUGCCAGAACCAAGAGAUCCGUUUGUUGAAAGUUUUGAUUUAUUUAUGGUUUUACUCAGAAGUUACAUAUAGAAACAGAGUUUAGGGGUCCUCUUGCGGGGCCGUCCCGUUUUACCGGGAGCGGGCUGAUCCGCCGAGGCAACAAUUGGUAUGUUUCACAGGGGUUUUGGGAAUUGUAAACUCGGUAAUGAUCCUCCAGAGUUUUUCUCUCUCAGAAGAAAAUCA
rnacentral:misc_RNA from 1 species